rnacentral:lncRNA from 1 species
AUAAAUAAUGGGGCUUUUAUUAUGAACUAUAUUUUUAUUGAUAACUGGUUUAAUAAUCCAAUCUCAUGGUUUUUUUUGUAAAGAACACAAAGGUUGUUCAAGCUAAAAAUCACUCUUAUUGGUGUUUUUUCAAGUAAUUGUUUGUGAAUUAUUGUGAAGUGCCUCUGUACAUUGAAUAAAAGGAGAUGACAUGGUUUGAAAAUGUAAGGCCAAGCAAUUGAACAAAGUUC